rnacentral:ncRNA from 2 species
CGAUUUUUGAUAAAGCAGGAUACCCCUUGACAGGGGUUUAAAAGGGAAUCACGUGAGAAUCGUGAGCUGACGCGCAACUGUAAGCCCACCGAGAUGUUUUGCGGCAAAGUGCCACUGUCCCGAUGAACGGGAUGGGAAGGCGUCGUAAAACGGGUAAGCCAGGAGACCUGUCUUGUUUUUUAUCCGGAA